rnacentral:rRNA from 1 species
GAUGAACGCUAGCUACAGGCUUAACACAUGCAAGUCGAGGGACCGGCGCACGGGUGAGUAACACGUAUCCAACCUGCCCUUUACUCGGGGAUAGCCUUUCGAAAGAACGAUUAAUACCCGAUAUAAAGGAUGGGGAUGCGUUCCAUUAGGUUGUUGGUGAGGUAACGGCUAACCAAGCCUUCGAUGGAUAGGGGUUCUGAGAGGAAGGGCCACCACAUUUGAACUGAGACACGGUCCAAACUCGUACGGGAGGGAGCAGUGAGGAAUAUUGGUCAAUGGGCGCUAGUCUGAACCAGCCAAGUAGCGGGAAGGAGGAAGGCUUAUGGGUCGUAAAUUUCUUUUAGAGAAGAAGAGGUAUUAUAUGAAUAAGGAUCGGCUAACUCCGUGCCAGCAGCCGCGGUAAUUC